rnacentral:rRNA from 1 species
GAUGAACGCUGGCGGCGUGCUUAACACAUGCAAGUCGAACGAUGAAGCCCAGCUUGCUGGGUGGAUUAGUGGCGAACGGGUGAGUAACACGUGAGUAACCUGCCCUUGACUCUGGGAUAAGCCUGGGAAACUGGGUCUAAUACUGGAUAUGACUUCUCAUCGCAUGGUGGGGGGUGGAAAGAUUUAUUGGUCUUGGAUGGACUCGCGGCCUAUCAGCUUGUUGGUGAGGUAAUGGCUCACCAAGGCGACGACGGGUAGCCGGCCUGAGAGGGUGACCGGCCACACUGGGACUGAGACACGGCCCAGACUCCUACGGGAGGCAGCAGUGGGGAAAAUUGCACAAUGGGCGCAAGCCUGAUGCAGCGACGCCGCGUGAGGGAUGACGGCCUUCGGGUUGUAAACCUCUUUCAGUAGGGAAGAAGCGAGAGUGACGGUACCUGCAGAAGAAGCGCCGGCUAACUACGUG